CGUACACUGUACAUCAAAUGCAGUGGUACCUCUACUUAUGAACUUAAUUGGUUCAAUGAUCGGUUUUGGAAGUAAAAACUUUAGUAAGUAGAAGCAACAUUUUCCAUAGGAAUCAAUGUAAAAGCAAAUAAUGCAUGCCA